UACGUAGGGUGCAAGCGUUGUCCGGAAUUAUUGGGCGUAAAGAGCUCGUAGGCGGCUUGUCACGUCGGCUGUGAAAACCUGGGGCUCAACCCCGGGCCUGCAGCCGAUACGGGCAAGCUAGAAUUCGGUAGGGGAGACUGGAAUUCCUGGUGUAGCGGUGAGAUGCGCAGAUAUCAGGAGGAACACCGGUGGCGAAGGCGGGUCUCUGGGCCGAUAUUGACGCUGAGGAGCGAAAGCGUGGGGAGCGAACAGG
rnacentral:rRNA from 1 species